GUUCGGCUGAGCACUCUAGGGAGACUGCCUUCGCAAGGAGGAGGAAGGUGAGGACGACGUCAAGUCGAUCAUGGCCCUUACGGCCAGGGCUACACACGUGCGUACAAUGGGGCGUACAGAGAGCUGCGAUACCGCGAGGUGGAGCCAAGUCUCUUAAAGCGUCUCUCAGUUCGGAUUGUUCUCUGCAACUCGAGAACAUGAAGCUGGAAUCACUAGUAAUCGCAGAUCAGCUAUGCUGCGGUGAAUACGUUCCCGGGUCUU
rnacentral:rRNA from 1 species